AGGUGAUGGAAAUUAGAGUCCUGCUUAAAAAAUACAGAUGUUCUGGAAUAUCAAGCAACAAUUUCAAGCUUUCACACUUCUGGAUUGAAACACAGUUUAAAGAGGGAAUAAAAACCUGAAGAAAGAGCCACAGGACUGGACUGAGCUAAGGCAUGUUAAUAGCCAUGUUCUAGAGAAACGAUCUAUGAACUCCUCUGCUGAGGUCCCCACACCUGUCCUUGUUCUCUUUCUUCCCGAGGCUGAGUGUCUUUCCUGCUGUUCUGUGAUGCUUUUGCAACACUAAUGAAUAAAUCUCUCUCCAGGAAUUGUUUUCUUUUUCAUGAAACACCUCUCUCCUCCCUUAUCUCACCACAAAAAAGUAAAAAAAUAAAAGAAUAUUUAAUGUUCAGAAUCCACAA
rnacentral:lncRNA from 1 species